UUGAUUUAGAUAAACUUAAGUAUAGUAAUGUCAAAUGUAUGUGCACAGUAAUCUUGUGUAUGUCUAAGUCCCUCCCUCUUUUCUAAACCCAACUCCCCAGAUCCUAGAAACCCAGCCCCUUCUGCCCUCCGGAGGCGCCUCAUGCUGUGCACAGGGGCAUUUUAAAUUAAAGUCUCCAUUAAACAAUGGUUCUGCAGGCAACCGCUCCGGAAUCAGGGCCCCCCGGCUUCUGCGGAGGGUGCAUCAGGGUGUAGGGAGGGGUAGGGGAGUGGGCGAAGCUACUGGUUGGUGCCUGGAAUCAGUGCGUUGCCCCUUUAAUUGUGUCCCCGGCCCUCGGGCGUUUCUGUCCAACGCCCACGUCAGCAAAUACCUUUUGUUUCUCUCACGUUGGGGCUACUAGUUUAAGGGCGGCAGGAAACGGGAUUCCUAGGGGCAAUUCCCCAGCUCAGCCGCCGGGACUCCCCCCAGCCCGUAACCCGCGGUACCCGGAAAAGAAGGAAACAAGUGUUUAUUAACCAUCUACUAUGUGUGGAGUACUGUGCUAAAUGCUUUACAUACAAAUAUCUUCUCAUUUGAUUCUCACAACAAUCCUGAGAGAAAGUACGAGAUAACCCAAAUUGGCAGAUUUGGACACUCCCCUGUUUUGACUCUAUUUCAGGAGCAGUCCCCA